rnacentral:lncRNA from 1 species
AUCCUUGCAAUUAAACCACUACUUUUCAAUACUACUUGCAUCACAAUUCCUAAUGGUCAUAACCUGCUCCGAUACCACUUUAACUGUCACACCCCUGAUCUAGAAUAUAAAUUAAAAUAAAUUUUUAGAGAUAUGAGCAGCCAUCGCACACCUACAAAGUACCGUCUCUAUAGGCAUGUAAGGCAUUCAACCUGACAAAAAUUCAAUAUGAUAUGAAAGAUAACAUACUCAUUGCAUAGGUAGCGGUGUAACAGAACAAUUACUCUCUAUUUUAUAG